rnacentral:sRNA from 1 species
UGCGGUGGCUCACGCUUGUAAUCCCAGCACUUUGGGAGGCCGAGGCAGGCAGAUCACGAGGUCAAGAAAUCAAGACCAUCCUGGCCAACUUGGUGAAACUCUGUCUCUACUAAAAAUACAAAAAUUAGCUGGGCAUGGUGGUGCACGCCUGUAGUCCCAGCUACUCGGGAGGCUGAGGCAGGAGAAUUGCUUGAAUCUGGGAGGCGGAGGUUGCAGUGAGCCGAGAUCGCGCCACUGCACUCCAGCCUGGCGACAGAGUGAGACUCCAUCUCGAGAAAAAAAAAAAAAAAAAAAAAACAAUGCAGAGAAAAACUGGUCCAAGUACUGAGGAAGAAAGCCUCAGAAACACCAAGGUUGCCAGGGCAGUGGGCUCUUGUUAUCAGAUGAACAGAGUCCCUGACCGACACCUGAUCUGCUGCUUAACUGAGAUGAGCAUCAGGAUUUUAUGGAUGAGCAAAAACGACUAAAGAAGCUUCGUGGAAAGGAGAAACCAAAGAAAGGAGAAGGGAAAAGAGCAGCAAAAAGGAAAUAGUGUUGGUCCCUCAAGAGGGAGACUUUCUUCCUCAGUGGCGGAGAGAAGAAAGUGCAUUUAUUGUCUUUCCACAUAUUGGAGGAAUGUCAUCUUCCUAAAUGAAGUUUAUUUGGAGGAACACAGUCAUCUCCUUGGUGAAAUCUAAUCCGGUUACAUUGUGGCUGGUUUCUUGAACACAUUCUAACUGUGCAAAAUUAUUUUGGCCUUGGCCGUGUAAUGUGAGGUUUACCUGAUUCUCUAAUGAAAUAAAUACCUAAGUUAU